rnacentral:rRNA from 1 species
CUUGGUCAUUUAGAGGAAGUAAAAGUCGUAACAAGGUUUCCGUAGGUGAACCUGCGGAAGGAUCAUUAAUGAGUAAGGGUCUCGACUUAUACAGAGCCCGACCUCCAACCCUUUGUCUACCUUACCAAUGUUGCUUCGGCGAGCCCGCUUCGAAAGAGGCCGCCGGAGGGUCGUUAAACAUCCUCUGGUCAGUGCUCGCCGGUGGCCCCAAUUAAAACUCUUGUUAAGAACUUGUCUAAGUAUAAACAAACAAAUAAGUAAAAACUUUCAACAACGGAUCUCUUGGUUCUGGCAUCGAUGAAGAACGCAGCGAAAUGCGAUAAGUAAUGCGAAUUGCAGAAUCCGUGAGUCAUCGAAUCUUUGAACGCACAUUGCGCCCUUUGGCAUUCCGAAGGGCAUGCCUGUUCGAGCGUCAUUAUCACCCCUCAAGCUCGGCUUGUUGUUGGACGUCGGUGGUCGUUUAUCGGUCACCCGCCCCAAAGAUAAUGACGGCGUCUGUGAGGACUCCAGUACACUGAGCUUCUUCGGAGCACGUAUUGGCUAGAAGUCCAGGCCCGGUCUUACCUAUUAUUUUUAUAAAGUUGACCUCGGAUCAGGUAGGGAUACCCGCUGAACUUAAGCAUAUCAAUAAGCGGAGGAAAAGAAACCAACAGGGAUUGCCUCAGUAACGGCGAGUGAAGCGGCAACAGCUCAAAUUUGAAAUCUGGCUUCAGUGGAGCCCGAGUUGUAAUUUGUAGAGGAUGUUUUCGGGUACCGCAUCGGCUUAAAUUUCUUGGAACAGAAUGUCAGAGAGGGUGAAAGUCCCGUCUGGAGUCGCGGUAGGGCCCAUGUGAAACUCCUUCGACGAGUCGAGUUGUUUGGGAAUGCAGCUCAAAAUGGGUGGUAAAUUUCAUCUGAAGCUAAAUAUUGGCCAGAGACCGAUAGCGCACAAGUAGAGUGAUCGAAAGAUGAAAAGCACUUUGGAAAGAGAGUUAAACAGUACGUGAAAUUGUUGAAAGGGAAGCGCUUGCAACCAGACUUGCGCGCUGCUGAUCAUCCGAGCUUUUGCCCGGUGCACUCGGCAGCGCUCAGGCCAGCAUCGGUUUUGGUGGGCGGAUAAAGGCCUUGGGAAUGUAGCUCUCUUCGGGGAGUGUUAUAGCCCUCGGUGCAAUGCGCCCUACCGGGACCGAGGACCGCGCUUCGGCUAGGAUGCUGGCGUAAUGGUUGUAAGCGACCCGUCUUGAAACACGGACC